rnacentral:rRNA from 1 species
UACGUAGGGGGCAAGCGUUGUCCGGAUUUACUGGGCGUAAAGCGCGCGUAGGCGGAGCGUUAAGCGUGCCUUGAAAGCCCCCGGCUCAACCGGGGAAGGGGGGUGCGAACUGGCGCUCUUGAGGGCGAUAGAGGGGGGCGGAAUUCCUGGUGUAGCGGUGAAAUGCGUAGAGAUCAGGAGGAACACCCGUGGCGAAGGCGGCCCCCUGGGUCGGCCCUGACGCUGAGGCGCGAAAGCGUGGGGAGCGAACGGG